UGUAGGUAGACUUGCCCAACGUGCACUAGUACUCUUUCUCCAGCCAGAUGCCCACAGACUUACGGGCCCUAUGUGCUGAUAUAUAAUUGUGCCUGGAAUUGGUUCACUCCAGUGGGUUCUUUGUCUCACUAACUUCAAGAAUGAAGCCGUGGACCCUCACAGGCAGGGGCCCUGUCAUUCCCAUCUGCACAUACAGACUCCGGGUCAGCUUUGUCUUCUGACCCACUCACCUUGAUUCAGCAAGUGCCUGGCCAUCCUCAUUACGCUUGUCUUACUUCAGUGGUGGGUUGGGACAUCGCUAACACCAAUCAGUUCGUGUUUCAUCUGAGUCUUCUCUCAAUUCCAUUCUGCCAAAAGCCACCCAUACAGGUCACAGAAAAUAAAAGCAAGAAGGCACGCCCAGAAGGUGGGCAAUGCCCAUGAUAGUUUUUACAACAACUGCUACAGAAUAAAGAUGAUGAAUUGUGUAUUGAAUGGAAACAUAUCAUUGAAUUGUCUUUUGACAAAAUAAAAUCUUGAUCCAAA